AACGGAAAGGCCCUGCUUGCAGGGUACUCGAGUGGCGAACGGGUGAGUAACACGUGGGUGAUCUGCCCUGCACUUCGGGAUAAGCUUGGGAAACUGGGUCUAAUACCGGAUAGGAGCCAUCUUUAGUGUGGUGGUUGGAAAGUUUUUUCGGUGUAGGAUGAGCUCGCGGCCUAUCAGCUUGUUGGUGGGGUAAUGGCCUACCAAGGCGGCGACGGGUAGCCGGCCUGAGAGGGUGUACGGCCACAUUGGGACUGAGAUACGGCCCAGACUCCUACGGGAGGCAGCAGUGGGGAAUAUUGCACAAUGGGCGCAAGCCUGAUGCAGCGACGCCGCGUGGGGGAUGAAGGCCUUCGGGUUGUAAACUCCUUUCGCUAGGGACGAAGCUUUGUGUGACGGUACCUAGAUAAGAAGCACCGGCUAACUACGUGCCAGCAGCCGCGGUAAUACGUAGGGUGCGAGCGUUGUCCGGAAUUACUGGGCGUAAAGGGCUCGUAGGUGGUUUGUCGCGUCGUCUGUGAAAUUCUGGGGCUUAACUCCGGGCGUGCAGGCGAUACGGGCAUAACUUGAGUGCUGUAGGGGUAACUGGAAUUCCUGGUGUAGCGGUGAAAUGCGCAGAUAUCAGGAGGAACACCGAUGGCGAAGGCAGGUUACUGGGCAGUUACUGACGCUGAGGAGCGAAAGCAUGGGUAGCGAACAGGAUUAGAUACCCUGGU
rnacentral:rRNA from 1 species